CCAAUAGCGUAUAUUAAAGUUGUUGCAGUUAAAAAGCUCGUAGUUGAAUUUCGGGAUCAAUAUGUCGGUCGUGCCUCCGGUACGUACUGGCAUCAUUGAUUUCUCCCUUCUGACGAACCAUGAUGUCAUUAAUUUGGUGUCAUGGGGAGUCAGGACUGUUACUUUGAAAAAAUUAGAGUGUUUAAAGCAGGCUCACGCUUGAAUACAUUAGCAUGGAAUAAUGAAAUAGGACGUUUGACCCUAUUUUGUUGGUUUCUAGGAUCAACGUAAUGAUUAAUAGGGAUAGUUGGGGGCAUUAGUAUUCAAUUGUCAGAGGUGAAAUUCUUGGAUUUAUUGAAGACUAACUACUGCGAAAGCAUUUGCCAAGGAUGUUUUCAUUAAUCAAGAACGAAAGUUAGGGGAUCGAAGACGAUCAGAUACCGUCGUAGUCUUAACCAUAAACUAUGCCGACUAGGGAUCGGAUGAUGUUAAUUUUUUAAUGACUCAUUCGGCGCCUUACG
rnacentral:rRNA from 1 species